UACAGAGGUGUCAAACGUUGUCCGGAAUUACUGGGCGUAAAGGGCUCGUAGGCGGCCAACUAAGUCAUACGUGAAAUCCCUCAGCUUAACUGGGGAACUGCGUGUGAUACUGGAUGGCUUGGAUUUGGGAGAGGGAUGCGGAAUUCCAGGUGUAGCGGUGAAAUGCGUAGAUAUCUGGAGGAACACCGGUGGCGAAGGCGGCAUCCUGGACCGGCAUUGACGCUGAGGAGCGAAAGCUAGGGGAGCAAACGGG
rnacentral:rRNA from 1 species